GAGAAUUUUUAAAUAUUACUGCUAAUAAUAUAUAGGAUUUAAUAAAUCCAGUUCUUU
rnacentral:tRNA from 1 species